GGUGCUUGCAUCUUGAUUUAAUUUUGAACGAGUGGCGGACGGGUGAGUAACACGUGGGUAACCUGCCCUUAAGUGGGGGAUAACAUUUGGAAACAGAUGCUAAUACCGCAUAAAUCCAAGAACCGCAUGGUUCUUGGCUGAAAGAUGGCGUAAGCUAUCGCUUUUGGAUGGACCCGCGGCGUAUUAGCUAGUUGGUGAGGUAACGGCUCACCAAGGCAAUGAUACGUAGCCGAACUGAGAGGUUGAUCGGCCACAUUGGGACUGAGACACGGCCCAAACUCCUACGGGAGGCAGCAGUAGGGAAUCUUCCACAAUGGACGCAAGUCUGAUGGAGCAACGCCGCGUGAGUGAAGAAGGCUUUCGGGUCGUAAAACUCUGUUGUUGGAGAAGAAUGGUCGGCAGAGUAACUGUUGUCGGCGUGACGGUAUCCAACCAGAAAGCCACGGCUAACUACGUGCCAGCAGCCGCGGUAAUACGUAGGUGGCAAGCGUUAUCCGGAUUUAUUGGGCGUAAAGCGAGCGCAGGCGGUUUUUUAAGUCUGAUGUGAAAGCCCUCGGCUUAACCGAGGAAGUGCAUCGGAAACUGGGAAACUUGAGUGCAGAAGAGGACAGUGGAACUCCAUGUGUAGCGGUGAAAUGCGUAGAUAUAUGGAAGAACACCAGUGGCGAAGGCGGCUGUCUGGUCUGUAACUGACGCUGAGGCUCGAAAGCAUGGGUAGCGAACAGGAUUAGAUACCCUGGUAGUCCAUGCCGUAAACGAUGAAUGCUAGGUGUUGGAGGGUUUCCGCCCUUCAGUGCCGCAGCUAACGCAUUAAGCAUUCCGCCUGGGGAGUACGACCGCAAGGUUGAAACUCAAAGGAAUUGACGGGGGCCCGCACAAGCGGUGGAGCAUGUGGUUUAAUUCGAAGCAACGCGAAGAACCUUACCAGGUCUUGACAUCUUUUGAUCACCUGAGAGAUCAGGUUUCCCCUUCGGGGGCAAAAUGACAGGUGGUGCAUGGUUGUCGUCAGCUCGUGUCGUGAGAUGUUGGGUUAAGUCCCGCAACGAGCGCAACCCUUAUGACUAGUUGCCAGCAUUUAGUUGGGCACUCUAGUAAGACUGCCGGUGACAAACCGGAGGAAGGUGGGGAUGACGUCAAAUCAUCAUGCCCCUUAUGACCUGGGCUACACACGUGCUACAAUGGAUGGUACAACGAGUUGCGAGACCGCGAGGUCAAGCUAAUCUCUUAAAGCCAUUCUCAGUUCGGACUGUAGGCUGCAACUCGCCUACACGAAGUCGGAAUCGCUAGUAAUCGCGGAUCAGCACGCCGCGGUGAAUACGUUCCCGGGCCUUGUACACACCGCCCGUCACACCAUGAGAGUUUGUAACACCCGAAGCCGGUGGCGUAACCCUUUUAGGGAGCGAGCCGUCUAAGGUGGGACAAAUGAUUAGGGUGAAGUCGUAACAAGGUAGCCGUAGGAGAACCUGCGGCUGGA
rnacentral:rRNA from 1 species